GUGUUAUUCCCUCUCUGCAACGAAGGAUCAGGAAGUUUGUACUCUCUGUGUGGCUGAGAAGUUUUUCACCUACUGGAACCCGCCUAGGGUACGGGAAACAGGUGCCCUCCAAAACGAGAGCGCGAACUGCAGCCUACGUCCCACUGCAGCUCAGGAGCAACGUCAGGUAAGAAUGACAACAUUAACUCAUAGAACCCGUCGAACUGAAGUAAGUAAGAGCUCUGAAAAGAAAAUAGAAAGUGAGGAAGACACUAAUCAAGAAAGGAGUCCAGAUAAUGAAGACCCUGGAGACUCUAAGGAUAUCCGCCUCACUCUUAUGGAAGAAGUAUUGCUCCUGGGGCUAAAAGAUAAAGAGGGCUACACAUCUUUCUGGAAUGACUGUAUAUCAUCUGGACUGCGAGGAGGCAUUCUGAUAGAGCUGGCCAUGCGGGGUCGAAUCUAUCUGGAACCUCCCACCAUGCGUAAGAAGCGACUCCUAGACAGAAAGGUCCUGCUGAAGUCAGACAGCCCAACAGGUGAUGUUUUGCUGGAUGAGACGCUCAAACACAUUAAAGCAACUGAGCCAACCGAAACUGUGCAGACGUGGAUCGAGCUACUCACUGGUCUCACCAUGUAGCAGUGGCUAGCUAGGAACUUGUGGGCUCCAAACUUAAAGAUCUGCCUGUUUCUAUCUCCCAAGUACUGGGAUUAAAGGUGAGACAUGGAACCCUUUCAAAUUACAGUACCAGCUGAGAAAUGUACGAGAACGAAUUGCCAAGAACCUGGUGGAAAAGGGCAUUCUAACCACAGAGAAGCAGAAUUUCCUGCUCUUCGACAUGACCACUCAUCCAGUGACCAAUACGACAGAGAAACAGCGACUAAUGAAAAAGCUUCAAGACAGUGUGCUAGAACGGUGGGUAAAUGACCCUCAGCGCAUGGACAGGCGAACACUGGCCCUCCUGGUGCUGGCCCACUCUUCUGAUGUGCUGGAGAAUGUCUUCUCUUGUCUGACAGAUGAUAAGUAUGAUGUGGCAAUGAAUCGAACCAAGGACCUAGUAGAACUGGACCCUGAAGUGGAGGGGACAAAGCACAAUGCUACAGAGAUGAUCUGGGCUGUGCUGGCAGCCUUCAACAAAUCCUAAAGCCAGCAGGCGGGUGUCUCCUUUUCCCGGCUGGCUGGUGACUCUCAGAGACCCAAUCACUGAGUUCAGUGUGAUAAGAUGCUAUCAUCAUUUCCCCACUUUUUGAAUCAGACUCCUGACUUGAGGAGGAAAACUUCAUGGCCUCUCUGUCCAUCGGCCAUGACCUUCUAAGCAGACUGUUUCUCCUCACUUCCACUCUGUCUGAAUGAAAGGGGUGAACCCACACACAUCUAAUAAACAACUCCCAUUUCUGGGUUUAGUUUUAACCAGUGUGGUUCUGGAUAAACAAGAGUUCCUGUGUGGGGAUUAGAGUUUUCCAGCAACAAAAUGUGAAGGAAAUGAACAGUAAACCAUAUUCAAUUUUUUUUCUCCCUUAUUCAUGUUUUCUCAGGCUUUGUUUCUCCGCUCUGUUAAGCAGUGACACUUCCUGAAAUCACUGACUCUUUGAAUGAGAGGCAGUGGGAACAAGACUAAUUUUUGAAGCAAAUGGUUCCUGAGAUUAUACCUCCCACCUGUGAUUUUCUCAUCUUCACAUAAUGAAAACACUCCAAGUUUGAUGACCCGAAUCCCUUAGUUCUCAGAGCAGAAAUGUAUUCUACACUCCUUUUUAGCUUUGUCUGGCUCCCACACUCAUUAAGAUUCUGAAUUGAAAAAGCAGUGUGCCUCAGUCACCUCCUCCUUACAGCCAGCAUUAGGACCUGUAGAGAAGUGGGGCAACAUGAGACUUCACAUCCAUGAAACCAAGUGUCAUCUGAGCCCUGAAGAGAGAGUGGCAGCUAGAUUCAGGGCUAGCCUUGGCUAUAUGAGACCAUCUCGCAUUGAAAAAUUAAAGACUUUUCACAUAUCCUUCAGUAUGUGACUGUUCUGUUUGCUCUAGACUACUUUAAAUAUCUCUACUCUGAUAAAAUUAAGGGAAUUAAGUUUCAAGUCCCAAAUUACAGCAUUGAGUCCCAACAAUGUAGCCAACCUCCAUAUUUGCAUAGUCCCUGUUUUUAUUUCCUACAUAAAUGGAUAAAUUUUCCCUGUAUUUAAGGGCUUUGGCAGUAAUUCUGUCUAUAUUUAAUCUAUUGUCACCCUCUAAAUUGUGUCUUCUUUCAACACAGCCAUCCUGGCCAAAUCCCUUAAAAUGUUUUUGCUUCAGUAGAGAGGAUGAAGAGGGUGGAGAGAUCCUAUUUAGAUGGCCAGUUGAGUGUCACCAGCAGCAGAUGCAAAGCCUAAGCUCAAGGGUUGUGAAGAGGCCAGCACUGUGUUGUGCAGAGUUCAAGCACCCUGUUGACCACUGGGGAGAGACAGGCUUUCACACAGCCACCACAGAUGACUUGGACUAAUACCAAAUCCUUCUAAUCAGAAAUAAAUUAUAACCUCAUCGUUCCCUUGAACCUUCCUAGGUCCAUGAAAGUUCUCCAGCUUAUUGUUAUUGUUUUCAUCUGACUCUUAGAUGAGUAGAGAUAAAAGCUGUCAUUUGAGAAGCUAAGCAGAGCCUUAGUCUGGCUUUCUAGAAGGGCAAAAGCCAGGCCAUGUAUAAUCUAGCAGCUCAUAUUAUCUUCCCCUUAGAACAAUUCAUAGUGAAUUGAAACCAGAUUUUCCUUUGAAAGCUUUAGCUUGUUUGGGGAAUAGAAGUUGAAUUCUUUCUUGCAACUCUCAAUGUUUAUUUUUAUAUGUCCAUACAAUGAGAAUGUCUUCACUUCUAAUCUGUGUAAUGUUCACUGCCAAACACUCAUUUAGUGUAUAUUGCCUUCACAUUUCUGUAUAAUAAAGAUCAAUAAUUGUA